rnacentral:rRNA from 1 species
UACAGAGGUCUCAAGCGUUGUUCGGAUUCAUUGGGCGUAAAGGGUGCGUAGGCUGGCGCGGUAAGUCGGGUGUGAAAUCUUGGAGCUUAACUCCGAAACUGCAUUCGAUACUGCCGUGCUUGAGGACUGGAGAGGAGACUGGAAUUUACGGUGUAGCGGUGGAAUGCGCAGAUAUCAGGAGGAACACCAACGGCGAAGGCAGCUCGCUGGGACGGUACUGACGCUAAGGCGCGAAAGCGUGGGAGCGAACAGG